AAACAUCUGUCUCUCGGCUCUGCCUCCACUAGAUGAUUCCAAUGUACAGCCAAUGAUGAGCAGCUGCUGGGCUGAAGGGACUGGGGCCAUUUUAUACCAGUUGUAGGAUGUUACACAGAAAUGCCUGAAAAGCAAGGAGCAGCUAUCAGAAUGUUUGGUGACACAGCUCCUCCUGUCGUGGUUCCUUCGGCAUGGACUUCACAUUCAGCAGAUCCAUGAGGUGUUCCCUUUCGGAUGAGCUCCAAGGUCUUAAGAGAGCAUCUCUAGUCUGCGUGAGUCCGUCUGAACGACGGUCCUGAGCAAGAACCACCUAUAACCAUCUGCUCAAAAUAACUCAGGGGAAGUCAAAGCUUUCUAUGUGGAAGGUGACUGAAACCACAUACACAGACCACUGCAGCAUUCCUGACAUUAUGGAACUUGGAAAUGAUUCCAAACAUGGCCAUAGCUUGAGUAACAUGUUUUGCUAUGACAAGAACUUGGACUGUAGUCCUUCCCCCUCUCAAGAAUGUGACAUCACACCUUAUCAGAUCCUACGAGUGAGCUACUGACCUCAACCACUGAACUUCAAACUAUGUAAAAACCUAAGGGUUCGACAGACACUUUGAGAGCUUGGGCUGUGGCAAGCUACACUCUGUCAGCCUCUCUUCGACAGGGCCCCACCCUGCUAGCCUUUGAACUUGGAAGCAUCGCCCACAAACACCAGUGCCACCCUCUAGCCUUGAGGGACCAUAUAUGUCUCUGUGAAUCUCCGUUGCAUUGGACAGCUUCUCUCCCAAGAGCUGCUCUUAUAAAAGAGACACACCACAUUUUAAUGAGGCUUCGCUCUCCACAGAGGCCUGCUUCCAUCCUAAUUGAGCAAGUAGACUUUAGUAACUUUGGAACUCACUCACCCCGUGACUAAUACACCCUGUCUACCCAGCGCAUUCCCUGUGAGAUUUGUUCAUGUUGUUCUCCCCCUCCUUAAGCAUUGUGAACCUAGGAAAAAUAUCAUCUCUGUAGGGCAAUAAACCAUGUGAUUUGUGAAAU
rnacentral:lncRNA from 1 species